rnacentral:rRNA from 1 species
ACACACGUGUUACAAUGGCAGGUACAGAGGGUGCUACCGGGUGACCGGAUGCCGAUCUCGAAAACCUGUCCCAGUUCGGACUGGAGUCUGCAACCCGACUCCACGAAGUUGGAUUCGCUAGUAAUCGCGCAUCAGCCAUGGCGCGGUGAAUACGUUCCCGGGCCUUGUACACACCGCCCGUCAAGCCAUGGGAGCCGGGGGUACCUGAAGUGCGUGACCGCAAGGAGCGCCCUAAGGUAAAACCGGUGACUGGGGCUAAGUCGUAACAAGGUACC